GAGGCGAGGUCUUAGCUUAAUAAAAGCAAUUGAUUUGCAUUCAAUAGAUGUAGGAUACAGUCUUACAGUCCUUA
rnacentral:tRNA from 1 species